UACGGGGGGGGCAAGCGUUGUUCGGAAUUACUGGGCGUAAAGGGCUCGUAGGCGGCCAACUAAGUCGAACGUGAAAUCCCUCAGCUUAACUGGGGAACUGCGUCCGAUACUGAUUGGCUUGAAUCCGGAAGAGGGAUGCGGAAUUCCAGGUGUAGCGGUGAAAUGCGUAGAUAUCUGGAGGAACACCGGUGGCGAAGGCGGCAUCCUGGGUCGGUAUUGACGCUGAGGAGCGAAAGCCAGGGGAGCAAACGGG
rnacentral:rRNA from 1 species